CAACAAGCAGUAUUCUCAGGGAGCUGCUGGUGGAAGCCCCAGUGUGCCAGAAGAACCUGCCGCUGACAUCUGCAGCCCCUGCCAUUCAAAGUCCCCACACGCCUUGGAGAGAGGCUACCUCAGAUGCAUUGUGGGUAAUUUAAAAUGGCAGGCGGCUUGUAGCAAGCUGGCACAAAUCACAGCACUGCCCCUACUGAUUCCUCCAUCACCACCAGGUAAGGACACCAACAUUGGAGAGGGCCAAUAAUAUAAGGGGAACAUUGGGGGGGGCUAACUUAGAGCCAGCCCUACUGUCCAUUAGGACAACCACUUCAUGCAUCGGGCAAAGAGGAGUCUGGCCCAUGGAAGCUGGCCUGAUAUGUUAAACUUACAGGAACAUAGGAAGCUGGUCCCCCAAGCUCAGUAUUGUCUGCAAGGGCUCUCCUAGGUUUCAGGGAGGGGUCACUCUCCCAGCCCAACCCAGCAAUUGAACCUGGAACCUUCUACACACAAAGCAGAUUCUCUGCUCCUGAGCCUCGGCCCUUUCCAAAGAUUUGUGUAAUUUAAAAUCCCCCUGAUUUGUUUCCACUCCCUCCCGUAUGAACUUCUGAGAUCUUCAGGAGACUUUUCGCACUUGUCGUGUGAAGUUCAGGGCGCAAGGACGUGUGCAGAGGCCUCCUCAGUGAUGGGACCCAGAUUGCUUUGGCUCUACUUUCCUCCUGUAGCAGAGUUUCCAGGCAGAAGGUAAAGACCACUCCUCUGGACUGUGCUUUUUAGUGGUAUUGGAUGCUGCCCUUAAAUUUUCCUCAUUUUGUUGUUCUCUAGCGCUGGACAAUUUUGUAUGUUUUGAUGCUGUUGUGAUUAUUAUUCUUGCUCUGUUUUCUUGAUUGGUUGGGCUUUAUUUUUAUACGUUACUAGGGGUUGUUGACCCUGCUUGCUCCAUUUGCCAACUCUGACAACCACUCCCCACUCCUUCCCCCCCCCCAGCCACCCACUCCGACUGGAGUGCAAGUCCACACCCAGGCGCGCACAAAAUUAAAGCCCCAUUCACAAACCCUCGUUUCAGCUCUAGUCCCUUUCUAUGGGGCACACCCUCAAGGUGAGUUCUCCCAUCUAGUAUGUCAUAACUGAUAAGCUUAUCAGCUUCUGCUUCCUGUGUUGGUUCUCAUGGUUGAGCACCUUAUGCAAUAUAGAGCCGUGCUGUGCUCAGUCUCUAAAAGGAGAGGCAAAGGUCUAAAAUGUGGAGGCAAGGAAGGGUUAGUUCACUAUCGGCCCUCCAAAUGAUGUUGGACAAAAAAUUCCAUCGACUCCAGCCAGGGAAGACUGGGGCUGUGCCUCAGCCUAAACUACCUUGCAAGGUUGUUGUGAGGAGAAGAUGAGGAGGAGGAGAAGCAUGUACACUAAGGUUACCAGAUUUUUUUCAAUGAAUCCGGGGACAUUUUUCAACUUCAGUGGAUUUUGUAUGGGGACUGGUUUGUAAAUCCGGGGACUGUCCCCGGGAAACGGGGACGUCUGGUAACCUUAAUGUACACCACCUUGAACUCCUUAGAGGAAAGGUGGGAUUCAAAUGCAAUAAUAAAUGAAAAUAAGUAAAUAAAUGUAUGAAAAUGUCUUUGAUGACUUGAUGGUGAGGGGAAAGCAUUCUGCACACACUCAGGUGAUAACUUUUCUUCCUUAUUGCUUCAUGUGUCUCAGUUCUUGCGUCCCAAAGAAGAAAACCAGUUCUACUCCGGCCAGGUCACCUUGGAGAGGGCUUAGCAAAUCUGAGGGGUUUUCAUUUGCUUGCUUGCUUGCUUGCUUAUUAUCGUUGUCAAGUGAGCUCAGUGCAGAUUACAGCAAUAAAUACUCAAAAAGAAUCAGAAAAUUGUGAAACCACAAUAUCGUCAGUCAGUUGCCUAUCACAGGGCAAUCUCUGAGUGACUUGCAACCCAGUCGAAAAACUUACAAAAAACUUACAACCAAUAAAAAUGGGAACAAUCAAAUCUAUACAUAAAACACCAGCCUCCAAAUUAUAACAAUGGUUUUGCUGCCAAUUCCUGUCCUUCUCCUGAGUAGCACAUCCUCACCCCAGCCCAAGACAUUUUGGCACCCAAACUGAGAAAUCUAAUGCCUGCCCACUUUGUGUUACGAAGAUGAAGAGAAUGAUACUGUUACAAGCAAGCUAAUAUCUAACGGGACCUCAGGAGUUCCAAUGCAUAUCCUGGGUUAGUUCCCUUUGAAUGCGAUCACUGGUGACUUACGGCAUUUGGGUAAUACGUUAAUUAAAUUUAUACUCCACCCUUCCUGCCAAAGGAGCCCAGGGUGUUCCCCACCUCUGGUGUAUAUAAACCUUAUAUUAAAAGGUUUAUAUACACCAGGGGUGGGGAACCUGUCACCCUUCAGAUGUUGCUGGACUUCAUCUCCCAUCAUCGCUAACCAUUGGCCAAGCUGGCCGAGGCUAAUGGGAGCUGGAGUCCACCAACACCUGAAGGACCACAGAUGCCUUACUCCUGAUUUACACAUAUAUACAGGCUGAGCAUAAGAUGGGGGUCCUCAGUAUUCACUCCAAAAGAUAUUGCUCCCCUGGUUGCCUUCCCUCCUAAUCUGACUUUCAACUGCCCAUGGCUCCUAGAGGGCAAUGAGCUAAUUUGGUUUCAUUUUUUCUUCCAUUUCUUUUAAAGUCCAUAUUCCACACAUACCUUGGGAGUCCCUCAAUUAUGCAAGAAAAAACCCUACUUUGUCUGGGAGUCGCCCUGUUUGAAGGCUCAGCAUAAGGCCUCAAGGUUUGCUGUUUAUGGGAGGACAUGGUAAAUAAAUACUGCUGCAAAAGCUGGAGGUGAUGCUUCUGCCUGUCAUUUUGAACUGAUGGACCUAAUACCUCCUCCACAGAAGAGAUCAAAGAGACAGCGAAGGAGGUAACCAACCCCUGGGGCAGGAAUGGGCUGAAGUUUGCAAUCAGCCCAGAAGUGCCUUGUAAAGCGACCUCUCCAUGCUCCCCACAACGAUCCCUGAAGAUGAGACAUGAGUGGCUCACCCCUGCAUGCAAGGGCAUGUGUAUUGGCCUGUGACCUUUUGUACUCCAGUGACAAUUGGCAGUGUUGCCCC
rnacentral:lncRNA from 1 species